GACGUAGGGCGCGAGCGUUGUCCGGAUUUAUUGGGCGUAAAGAGCUCGUAGGCGGUCUGUCGCGUCUGCUGUGAAAGCCCGGGGCUCAACCCCAGGCCUGCAGUCGAUACGGGCAGACUAGAGUGCGGUAGGGGAGACUGGAAUUCCUGGUGUAGCGGUGAAAUGCGCAGAUAUCAGGAGGAACACCGGUGGCGAAGGCGGGUCUCUGGGCCGUAACUGACGCUGAGGAGCGAAAGCGUGGGGAGCGAACAGG
rnacentral:rRNA from 1 species